ACCAUGUGACCGCUCCAUUGCGCAUUAUCCAUUAUUGGGCGGUAGAUUCAAAUAAGCAGAAGCGCUAAUGCAUUGUACGGGCAGGCAGCGAACAUUUCAAAGGACGUGCAGCUUAAUCUCUGGAACUGCCAACUUCUGAUCUGCUGUUGGAUUCCUCACAUCCUGACUCCUUUUGUCGCCAUCAUUUUGUGCAGUUUUCUAUUGUUUUGCCAGGAAUGGAAGUGGUACUCUUUAAAGAAAAUCUUUGGUUUUAUUUAUUGUGUCUUAGAUUUGUUGUAUGAUCCUGCUUCAUGUUUUCAUUUAUGUUUUAAUAAAAUUAUAAAUAAAAUUA